CAUGUCUUUUUGAUUAUAAUUUAAGGUUUAAUCUGCUCAAUGAUUAUUUAAAUUGCCGCAGUAUUUUGACUGUGCAAAGGUAGCAUAAUAAUUAGUUUCUUUAUUGGGAACUGGAAUGAAUGAUUGGACGAGAAAAUUUCUGUCUCUUUAUUAUUUUAAUUGAAUUUUACUUUUAAGUUAAAAGGCUUAAAUUUUAUUAGAGGACGAGAAGACCCUAUAGAGUUUAAUUUUUAUUUAAAUAAUUAUUUUUAGUAUCUAUAUAUAUUAUUUAAAUAAAAAUUUAGUUGGGGUGACUAAAAGAUAAGAAUAACUCUUUUAAUUUUUAUCAAUUAUUUUUGAUUAUAAAAUCUUUAUUUUUAAUUUUAAAAUAAAUUACCUUAGGGAUAACAGCGUAAUUCUUUUUUAAAGUUCUUAUUAAAAGAAGAGUUUGCGACCUCGAUGUUGGAUUAAAAUUAAUUUUAGGUGUAGAAGCUUGAAAAUUAAGUCUGUUCGACUUUUAAAAUUUUACAUGAUCUGAGUUUAAACCGGUGUGAGCCAGGUUGGUUUCUAUCCUUAAUUAUAUAUUAUACUU
rnacentral:rRNA from 1 species